GCAAAGACAAAUGGGAAAACAAAGUGGUUGAAAUUCUGUUCUGCCUCCAUCCUUGGGGGCUUCAUUAACAUUUCCCAUGUCAGUAAGCUAUGAGCAAAGCUUAAAGAAAGGGACUUUAGGCAAGAUUGUGAGUAGUCCCUGCUUGGUAGCUCAGGAAGAAAAUGGGAUACAGGAUCCUCCCUCCCUUGCUCCUCUCCUCCCAACCAUGCAAUGCAGAGAGAUGCACCCAAGAUGUCCCUCCCCAGUUGUUCCUCAGCCUCAGGUUGCAAUAACAUAGGACUAGAGGAAUUGCCAUGCUGUAUCAGCCUGGAGGUCCAGUAUCAACUCUGAAGUCCAGUAUCCUGUUAUAGACAAUGGCCACUAUUGGAUGCUUCAGAGGCAGCUGCAAGAAACCCUGCAGUAGACAGAUGUGGGGUAAUCUGUCCCAUUUCCCCUCUCCCUGUGAAGGUCUCAUCCUAACUCUUAAUAGUUAAAGAGUUGUUUAAGACCCAAAACAUGAGGUUUUAUCUCCCUUCCAAUACUCAUUUUUGGUAUUAACUAUUAUAACUGGAUAUUCUUGUGAUCCAUACAAUAUCAGGGUUGGAAGGGACCUCAAGAGGUCAUCUAGUCCAACCCCCUGCUGAAAGCAGGACAAAUCUCCUGACAGAUUUUUGCCCCAGAUCCCUAAAUGGUCGCCUCAAGGAUUGAACUCACAACCCUGAGUUUAGCAAGUCUAUGCUCAAACCACUGAGCUAUCCCUCCUCCAUAUAACUAUGCCCCACUUGUUUUGUAGAUUCAGAAGCUUGGACAAGUACUAGCCUGCAUCACCCCAUUUUCUUGGUCCAGCAACUGUGUGAGAGAGAGAGGGAUGAUGCUGUUGAGGCAGUUGACCAGCCUUCCAGAUGGAAAAGAGCCGGAUCCCGCAAUGUGUACUCAAGCAAGACUCCUAGAUCACAAGAUUUGGCCCUUAGAGAUAACUGGCUCUACAUGCUAUGAUGGCAUUGAUUUUUAAGCAUAUUAAAACAAUUGAUGGCAUUAUAUGGCUCUGUACACCCAGGACUCUAAACAAUUAUCUACAAUGAGGAGGUACUACCUAUGUAUGAUGACUUAAAUUUGAUAUAAGUAGACUCAACAUUAUUUUGCCACACAAAUAGAAUGUACCAAACAAAGAUGGUUUACUACUUUAAGCACCAACUAUGACAUGCCAAAAUUCCCUGAAGCCACAGGUUACCAACUGGAUGACUCAGCCCUUCAUAUGUCUGAGGAAUAUGCAAAAACAAAUGAUCACAAUCUGAGGAGAAAGACAUUUGAAUAAAUACUACUGUUGUUACUACUGACAUCAGGAGGGCAAGCGAAUGCAAACAUACAAGUCCAUUCCAUACUAAAAGUCAGAACCCAGCUAAGGGAAAGCAAGAUUCAGCAUCAAAGAAAGGAUGAGCUCUCAUCACGACGCAUUGCAUAACUGUGACCCUGUAGCAACUUCUGAGCUCCACAAGAUUUGAAAACAGUAACUAGCCAAGCAGAGUUCACCAGACCUAAGGAAAUCUUUGGUUAGGGUAUGUCUACACAUCGAAUUAUUCCAGACCAGAUUAGCUCUUCCCAUCCACGUUUGAAUUCUUAUUCUGAAAUAAAAAUUAAUCCAGAAUAGUUCAUCUGGAAUAAUUAAUCUCAUGCUUUAUUUUAUUCCAGAAUAGCUCUCCCAUGUAGACAAGCCCUUAUAAAAUAUAUUAGGUAAAUAAUGGACCAUAUAUAUCCUAAAUGUCUUAAAGCUUCAUGUGAAGCCACUAGUUUCAAACAGGCCUUACUCAACCUAUAGAAUAUAAAUAAGUAAGGCCUGGCACUAAAAGGGUUAACUUGAGAUGGAGAACUCAGUUAAGGCAUCUGAGGGGUGGCCCAGGCACCAGCCCAGCUGGAGGAGGAGCUGGAUGGUGAGGAAGCCCAGCUGAGAAGGGAGUACUAUGAGAGAGAACUCUGUAGCCUGGCUGCUAGAGAAUGGUAGAAAGGCCUCUAGAAAGUGAGGCAGAUAUACAGUAAGCCCAGAGAGAGGCUGUGGGAAAGGACCUGAAGAAAGGCCAAGGUAAGAAGAAAUCCAGAGAGGCAGUGAGCAGUCUGAGGUAGCAGACGUUAGUGCUCAUCACAGGGUCCUUGUACUGGAACCCAGAAGACAAAGAGGGACUGAGCUCCCCUACUAGCUCCUGGGAAACACUCUAACAUGAUGGGGAGAAGGGCUACUGAGUUUGGAACUGGGCAUCCAGGGAGAAAGACCAGGGAAGUCUUGUUCUGCACAAGAGUGGGAGGACAACCCUGCAGAGCCUCAGAAGGGGUGAAGAGUCUGCAGAGGAUCCAGCCUAGGAAUGAGUGAAGAGGAGGUGUCGGUGCAGAUAUACAUUCAAGGAAAAUGAAAUUCAUGGUGCCAGAGCCUAACAACAUCUAGUGAAUCAGAGAAAGACCCUUGAAGAUCAAAAGCAGAACCAUUCAGUGGAACUGAUAGUGCCCCAUCAAACAGCAUGCGCCUGUUUGAGUAUCUUUGCAUUUACUAGAAUUGGACAACAGCAAUAGAUGGGCAAAAAGAAGGCUCCAGAGAAAGAUAUUCAAAGAGAAGGAGACAGUUGGGAAGCAGUAAUAUGGAGAUGUUUGGAGUGAUGGUACACAGG